UAGGGAGUUAUCGGCAAUGGGGGAAACCCUGACCGAGCAACGCCGCGUGAGUGAUGAAGGUCUUCGGAUUGUAAAGCUCUGUUAUAAGGGAAGAACGGCAGCUAGAGGAAAUGCUAGCUGUUUGACGGUACUUUAUGAGAAAGCCACGGCUAACUACGUGCCAGCAGCCGCGGUAAUACGUAGGUGGCAAGCGUUAUCCGGAAUCAUUGGGCGUAAAGAGUGAGCAGGCGGCAGUUUAAGUUUGGAGUCAAAGCGAGGGGCUCAACCCCUUAACGCUCUGAAAACUGAACAGCUAGAGUGCGAGAGAGGUAAGUGGAAUUCCAUGUGUAGCGGUGAAAUGCGUAGAUAUAUGGAGGAACACCAGUGGCGAAGGCGACUUACUAGCUCGAUACUGACGCUCAGUCACGAAGGCGUGGGGAUCAAACAGG
rnacentral:rRNA from 2 species